GUUAUCUAUCCAAAUAUUGGGUCGUUGAGAUUGUGGCGCGCAACCAUGGCCACUACCUUCCUCAGCUGCGGUCCGUUUUUACGCCACCACUCUCAUUUCUCCAAAUUCUUCUUUUGCUGCUCUAACGAUGCUGCCGAUGCUUCUUCCACAUCGUCAUUACCAAAAUCAACCACUAGCUCUUACUACACCCGUCGAUGGUACAACCCCUCCGGCCGAAGACAAUUGAACCAAGAAGGUGUUCAAAUUCUGCGCCACUGGAUUGAGACUGAUCAACCUUCCGCUUCUGAAGAAAAGUUUAGUGUGGUGUCAUACAACAUAUUGGCUGAAAGGAAUACAUGGAAACACAGAGGUUUAUAUCCCAAUGUUCCUUCACCGUACCUGAAAUGGAACCAUCGUAAGAGAGUUAUAUGUGAGGAACUUCUUAUGUGGAACCCUGAUAUAAUCUGCUUGCAGGAAGUGGACAAGUAUUUUGAUGUUUCAGAAAUCAUGGAGAAAGCCGGUUACGUUGGGUCAUACACGAGACGCACUGGAGACGCUAUUGAUGGAUGUGCUAUAUUCUGGAAAGCUGACAAGUUUCGACUGAUAGAUGAAGAGAGCAUCAAAUUCAAGAUGUUCAAUCUUCGUGAUAAUGUUGCUCAACUUUCUGUGCUAGAGAUGUCCAAAGCUAAAUCAAGAAGAUUACUAAUUGGUAACAUCCAUGUGCUUUACAACCCAAGCAGGGGGGACGUCAAAUUAGGUCAAUUACGUUAUCUGUUGUCAAGGGCAGAGAUUCUUUCUAAGAAAUGGAGAAAUCUUCCUUUUGUUCUUGCUGGUGAUUUCAAUAGUACUCCUGAGAGCGCAAUAUACAAUUUCUUAUCAUCAUCAGAGCUAAAUUUCAUGUCCUAUGACCGAAGAGAAUUGUCUGGACAAUCGGGAUGUCAUCCUGAUAAAGUUUUGGGUGUAAAAACAGAAGUGUGCGCACCUUUUUUCUUUUUGGGAAGUCAAACAAAAGGUCUGUGGACUGAAGAAGAGGUGAAAGUUGCUACUGGCAGUGCUGACUGCAAAGUGGUGAGGAAUCCCUUCAGGCUUACCAGCUCCUAUGCUACAAUAAAGAAAAUCAUAUAUACACCAUUCAGGGUCCUCCUACAACACGGGGAUCCACUGAUGAACCAUUGGCUACUUCCUACCACUCCAAGUUUCUUGGAACUGUCGAUUAUAUUUGGUACUCUGAUGGCCUUAUUCCUAUAAGGGUUGUUGAUACUGUUCCAAUUGAUAUUCUUCUGAAAACAGGCGGCCUUCCAUGCGAGAAGGUGGGCAGCGAUCAUUUACCCUUGGUUUCUGAAAUUGCCUUUACAAGAACAUCAGAAUAAAGCAAUGGCCAAUAGCUACAUCCAAGUAAUGAUUUCAGACUUUCAGCAAAAUAGCUAUCUAAGUAAGCACAAUAAUUGGCGGUCUACCUUCAAACAUUAUGAACUCUGCUUGAAUGAAACUAUAAUUGGACUCUAAGUUUUUUUUUUUUUUUUUAUUAUUAUUGGUAUUUAGAUAGAGAACUUGAAAUACGUAUAAAGGUAUUCUUUGUAAACUAUAGGUGAAUCAGAUAUACAUCAUAAUAUUCAAACUUAGGUUAUGUUGUGUUGUUAUUUUCAAAUGAGUAUAGGUUAAUUAUUGCUAA